GCCUGGAUAGUUCAGUUGGUGUGAUCAUGGUGCUGAUAAUGCCAAGGUUGCAAGUUCAAUCCGUAUAUAGGACA